AACGAACGCUGGCGGCAUGCCUAACACAUGCAAGUCGAACGAGACCUUCGGGUCUAGUGGCGCACGGGUGCGUAACGCGUGGGAACCUGCCCUUAGGUUCGGAAUAACUCCCCGAAAGGGGUGCUAAUACCGGAUAAUGUCUUCGGACCAAAGAUUUAUCGCCUUUGGAUGGGCCCGCGUUGGAUUAGCUAGUUGGUAGGGUAAAAGCCUACCAAGGCGACGAUCCAUAGCUGGUCUGAGAGGAUGAUCAGCCACACUGGGACUGAGACACGGCCCAGACUCGUACGGGAAGCAGCAGUGGGGAAUAUUGGACAAUGGGCGAAAGCCUGAUACAGCAAUGCCGCGUGAGUGAUGAAGGCCUUAGGGUUGUAAAGCUCUUUUACCCGGGAUGAUAAUGACAGUACCGGGAGAAUAAGCUCCGGCUAACUCCGUG
rnacentral:rRNA from 1 species